rnacentral:rRNA from 1 species
GGCCGGUACAGAGGGUUGCCAAAGCGCGAGCUGGAGCCAAUCCCAGAAAGCCGGUCGUAGUCCGGAUUGCAGUCUGCAACUCGACUGCAUGAAGUCGGAAUCGCUAGUAAUCGCGGAUCAGCAUGUCGCGGUGAAUACGUUCCCGGGUCUUGUACACACCGCCCGUCACACCAUGGGAGCGGGAUGUACCAGAAGUAGGUAGGCUAACCGCAAGGGGGCCGCUUACCACGGUGCGUUUCGUGACUGGGGUGAAGUCGUAACAAGGUAACC